AGAAACUCGAUGAGCGGGAGCAAGUAGCUCUUUCGUACCCCUUUCAGCGAGCCGGUGAGGGUGGAAGUCCGGCAGGAGGAGAAAGAAGGAAUGGGCCCGGGAGAGGCUGUCAGAAGUCAGUAUGACAGGCCGGAACUUUCACCGUUACCAGGAAAGAGUGCAUGAUAAUGUGCAUGUAAGAGCCGGGCAUUAUGCCAACCAGGGUGGUACCGCGGAAAUACUUUCCUUUCGUCCCUAUA
rnacentral:ncRNA from 1 species